AUUGAACGCUGGCGGCAGGCCUAACACAUGCAAGUCGAACGCGUGGCGGACGGGUGAGUUAUGUCUGGGAAACUGCCAGAUGGAGGGGGAUAAAUACUGGAAACGGUCGCUAAUCCCGAAUACCCUCAGAUGUGCCCAGAUGGGUUUCGCUUGUUGGUGGGGUAACGGCUCACCAAGGCGACGAUCCCUAGCUGGUCUGAGAGGGUGACCAGCCACACUGGAACUGAGACACGGUCCAGACUCCUACGGGAGGCAGCAGUGGGGAAUAUUGCACAAUGGGCGCAAGCCUGAUGCAGUCAUGCCGCGUGUAUGAAGAAGGCCUUCGGGUUGUAAAGUACUUUCAGCGGGGAGGCGUUACCCGCAGAAGAAGCACCGGCUAACUCCGUGCCAGCAGCCGCGGUAAUAC
rnacentral:rRNA from 1 species